rnacentral:lncRNA from 1 species
CUGGGAUCCCCAAAUUUCAUCUCCUAAAUAAGUAAUUGAUGUUAGCAGUGAUUCAUGAUUAAUUAAUAACUUAUAUUUCACAGGUUCUACAGUCUUCAACCUGUUAAAUGAUUUUUUUUCUGGAUAUAUAGAAGGAAGGUUAAAAGGAAAGCUUGGCCAUAUUCAGGGGUAUUUUUGGUAAAUAAUCGUCACCAUAGUGAAUUUCUGGUAAAAAAUCACAACUUAUAUUUCACAAUCUCUACACAAUGUUCCUGGUCAUGGUCAUGUCCAUUUUACUCCAGGAGGGUAUUCCUGUAAUUUUGUGCAACAUCAUUAAAAGUGGACACUUUACUUAAUUUUAAAAAAAACAUUUAACAGAAGGCUACAAACCUGGAAUGACAAUGUUAUAGGCAAUUUUAAAGAAUGAGAUUUCAUUGACUCAUUAAGUAGACUACUGACUGCUAAUGGCCC